UACGGGGGGAGCAAGCGUUGUUCGGAUUUACUGGGCGUAAAGGGCGCGUAGGCGGUCAGCACAAGUCAGUUGUGAAUCUCCGGGCUUAACUCGGAAAGGUCAACUGAUACUGUGCGACUAGAGUGCAGAAGGGGCAACUGGAAUUCUCGGUGUAGCGGUGAAAUGCGUAGAUAUCGAGAGGAACACCUGCGGCGAAGGCGGGUUGCUGGGCUGACACUGACGCUGAGAGACGAAAGCUAGGGGAGCAAAUGGG
rnacentral:rRNA from 1 species